rnacentral:rRNA from 1 species
GGCCCAGACUCCUACGGGAGGCAGCAGUCGGGAAUAUUGCGCAAUGGAGGAAACUCUGACGCAGUGACGCCGCGUGCAGGAAGAAGGUUUUCGGAUUGUAAACUGCUUUAGAUAGGGAAGAAAAAAAUGACAGUACCUAUAGAAUAAGCUCCGGCUAACUACGUGCCAGCAGCCGCGGUAAUACGUAGGGGGCAAGCGUUAUCCGGAUUUACUGGGUGUAAAGGGAGCGUAGACGGCGUGCCAAGUCUGAUGUGAAAGGCCGGGGCUCAACCCCGGGACUGCAUUGGAAACUGGCAUGCUGGAGUGCCGGAGGGGCAAGCGGAAUUCCUAGUGUAGCGGUGAAAUGCGUAGAUAUUAGGAGGAACACCGGUGGCGAAGGCGGCUUGCUGGACGGUAACUGACGUUGAGGCUCGAAAGCGUGGGGAGCAAACAGGAUUAGAUACCCCCGUAA